rnacentral:lncRNA from 1 species
UGCCACUCACUCUCGUCCCUUUAUUUUAUUUUUUGCUUAAUUUUUCUUUUACAAAACUAAUAUAUCUCAAUUAAUCAUUCAUCUAAUUAUUAUUGAGUCUUAGUUGAUUAUUUUGCUUCAAAUUUUAAAUUAAUCAUAUUGUUUGUUUGCAUAAAAGCUUCAAUGAUUUGAGACUUAUAUAGUAUAUAUAACCCAACAUGUAUUAAUUUGGAUAAUAGUUUUGAUAUAUGUGUUACAUGUGCAGCAAGGCUUCAAGCAAGGUGUGAGCGCAAGUGCCAGAUUAGAUGCGGUCCAGGUAACUAACAAACAUUACCCAAUUUUAAUUUAUGAAAACAUAAAUAUAUUUCUUUCUUUUUUUUUAUAAAUAUAUAUAUAUUUUUCAUAUAUUGGUCAACCGUCAACUCUCGUCAACUAGUGCUGAAGAUAGAUUAUGGUUUAAUACAGUUUAUGGAAGGUUUAGUAUCAACAAGGUCUGGGUGGUGUAGUCGGUUAUCACGCUAGUCUCACACACUAGAGGUCCCCAGUUCGAACCUGGGCUCAGACAUUUUUAAAUAUUUUUAUGUAUUUUUUCUUUGUAUUUAAUUUUGCAGAUUCUAUGGUAGAGAAAGGCAUGGAUUGAAUAUUAAUCAAAGAAGCAUUAACUCACUUCACCAACACCUUAUCAACUAUAGUACUUGCAACCUUAGUGUAUGUUUGGUUUCAAUUCUGGAGUAGCCAGAAUUGAUUCUGGACAUGUAGAAUGAAUUCUGACUUGUUUGGUUCCUCAAAAGUAGAAUUGAUUCUGCCUCCAGAAUGGAUUCUACUUGAAGCUAGAAAUUGUAGCUUCUCAUUCUAGAAUUGAUUUUUACACUCAAAUUCUUUGUUCAACUCACUUUUGUAUAAAUAUAUCCAAACAUAAAUCAAUUCUAUCAAACUCAAUUCUAUUAAAAUCAAUUAUGUCAAACUCAAUUCUGUCAAAAUCAAUUCUGUCCACCGCAAAACCAAACACAUACUUAGUUAUCAUUGAAAUAAAUAUUCUUAACUACCUUAUCAAUAAUUUUCAAAUUUGUUCGUUGUUGUAGUAGUAUCUUUAAAAUAAACUUGUACUAUUAGUGCAGAGUUUUUUAAGAUCAAAUUUGUUCAUGUACCAUGAGGAUAGACAUGUUUUGUGAUGACUGUCCAUAAAAAAAGUUUGUAAUGUGAAUGAAUAUUGAUAUCCAUAAUUUUUGUUUGUCAUAUAGUCUAGUGAUUAUAAAAUUUACUUUAAAUUUGAAUAAGUGAAGUGUUCGUGGUUUGAACCCCGAUUCUUACAUAUAUAGUGCGAUGUCUUUGUCAACUGAAAUAAAU